AACCCCUACCCACUAUUGAAUGACUCCAUUACCUUAUGGAAGACAUCAUGUUUGAACUAGUAACAAGAAUAUGAAAUUCUCCUAAAUAUAUGUAUAAGCCACACCAGACCAACUAACGGCAAUUAGCGUUUAUAAACCCCCUAUAACAACCCCCCCGAAAAACUUAUUAUAACUAACGUUAACCUUACACAAGAAUAUUUCAAGAAAGAUUAAAAGGGAGAGAAGGAACUCGGCAAAUCUUAACCCCGCCUGUUUACCAAAAACAUCGCCUCUUGUUAAAGCAUAAGAGGUCCAGCCUGCCCAGUGACACUUAAACGGCCGCGGUAUCCUAACCGUGCUAAGGUAGCACAAUCACUUGUCCUUUAAAUAAGGACUAGAAUGAAUGGCAUCACGAGGGUUAAACUGUCUCCUCCCCCCUAUCAGUGAAACUGACUUCCCCGUGAAAAGGCGGGAAUAAAUAUAUAAGACGAGAAGACCCCAUGGAGCUUUAGACACUAGGCCAAUCUUAACCUCAAACCCCCUAGUCCAAGAUCUAAACCCUAAGUCUUUGGUUGGGGCGACCAUGGAGAAAAAAUCAACCUCCAUGCCAAAUGGAUUUAUCCUUAUCCAAGAACUACACCUCCAAGAAACAGAAAACUGACGCCCACUGAUCCGGAAUCCGAUCAACGAACCAAGUUACCCUGGGGAUAACAGCGCCAUCCACUUCAAGAGUUCAUAUCGACAAGUGGGUUUACGACCUCGAUGUUGGAUCAGGAUAACCUAGUGGUGUAGCCGCUACAUAAGGCUCGUUUGUUCA
rnacentral:rRNA from 1 species